rnacentral:rRNA from 1 species
AUGGAGUCCGAGAAGGCAUCGCGGCCGGCGUCGCUCCUCGGGACGCUGCGGACGGCGGUGAAGAAGGUGCGGUUCCUCCUCUCCUUCAGCGCCACGCGCUGGAUCAUCAACUCCAUCGCCGGCCGCCGGAGCGCGCCCGGCGCGACGGCGCCGCUCCGCCUCAGCUUCGGCUCGAGGCGGCCGGGCCUGCUCGACGCGGAGGACGACGACGGCUCCCCCGCGUCCACCGCCGGGCCGGCCAGGACGGCGAGCCUCGGGUCGGGCGGCGUGUCGCGGACGAGCAGCGCGGUGGCGGCGUCGGAGUACUCGAGGUCCGCUUCGUCGGGCGCGACGUCCUCGUCGAGCGGGGGGUCGUCGCCGGCGGGGGACGACGACAUCGACCGGCGCGCGGAGCUGUUCAUCGCCAACUUCUACAAGCACAUCCAGAUGGAGCGGCAGGUGUCGCUGCAGCUGCGCUACUGCAGGGUCGACAGCCUGCAGGAGAGGUCGCCUCCCCGCAGGGUUUCUUGA